AUUGAACGCUGGCGGCAUGCCUUACACAUGCAAGUCGAACGGCAUCGCGGGAAAGCUUGCUUUCCUGGCGGCGAGUGGCGAACGGGUGAGUAACACAUCGGAACGUACCGGCUAGUGGGGGAUAACCCGUCGAAAGACGGGCUAAUACCGCAUACGCUCUUCGGAGGAAAGCAGGGGACCUUUGGGCCUUGCGCUAGCCGAGCGGCCGAUGUCCGAUUAGCUAGUUGGUGGGGUAAAGGCCUACCAAGGCGACGAUCGGUAGCGGGUCUGAGAGGACGAUCCGCCACACUGGGACUGAGACACGGCCCAGACUCCUACGGGAGGCAGCAGUGGGGAAUCUUGGACAAUGGGGGCAACCCUGAUCCAGCAAUGCCGCGUGGGUGAAGAAGGCCUUCGGGUUGUAAAGCCUUUUCGGCAGGGAAGAAAUCGGCGGGGCGAAUAACCCUGCUGGAUGACGGUACCUGCAGAAGAAGCACCGGCUAACUACGUG
rnacentral:rRNA from 1 species